ACCGACGCCCCGCGUUUCUCAUUUAAAAAAACACAGCAACAACAAAAAUCCAAUUCAGAAAAUCUAAGAGUACACACCGUAGACUUCUUUACCUUCUUACUAAGUACCUUCGCAGAUUUAUGUACAGUUUGAGAUCUACUGUUACUCAAGUAAAUAGGUGAAAACCUGUAGACAAAGAAACUAUUUCCAGAAUGGAAAGUAGGAGAAAUGACGUGUACAAAAAUGUGUAGCAGACAGAAAUCAAACGGAGAGAGAUGAUAUGUAAUUUGAUUGAUACACAGGUGCAAACUGACAACAGGCGCCAGCUUGUGAGAAAAUACUUUCGAUUAAUUUUGUGUGUGUGUCUUAUUAAGUGGUUCGGU